AAGGAAUUCUGUAGCAUGUUUUUUGAAGUACAGAGAUCCAAUAAGCCUUACAAAUGAUAAGAAACCAUGUUCCUCUGUGUCUGAUGAUAGAUAACCAGGUACUAUGUUUUGGUUACCUGUUAUAAAAUCUGCAUAUUGGAAUAAAGUAUUGAAAAAGAGAGCCUUGCCAAAACCAACAAAAAAUGAAAUAUAAUCACAGCCAC
rnacentral:lncRNA from 1 species